AGUCAGGCUGCCCCGCGGAAGCACGAGAGAGCUUUGGUUAGAGCUCAGAGAGUCAGUUCUGCUGCGAGUGCUGCCGGCAAUCGGCCCGGGCUGAGCUGUCCACUCGUCCAGGUGCUGAAGCUGGGAGAACAUUUAGGGCUCUCUCGCUGCCAUGACACUCAAUCAAAGCACCUAGAGUGGGCUGGCUGAGACCAGAGGGGGUACCAAGCAGAACAAGGACAGAGGAAGGCACUGGGAGAGCACCAGAAUUGGAGAUAGAGCAGCCAUUUGGAUUUGGGCAGGAAGCAGCCGAGCACAGCUUUGGAUCCUUCUUUAGGGAAAUCGAGUUAUGGAUUUAUGGUCCCGGUCAAGCUCAGCCCAGCCCCAGCCAGGGGCGGGCUCAGCAGCAAGAGUUCUGGUGGCGGCGGCAGUAGCAGCGGCAGCGGUAGCAGCGGCAGCAGCAGCUUGGUCCUCUGACUCUCUUCGGUGACGGGUAUUCUUGGGUGGAUAAUACGGAUUACGUUGUUAUUGCUUAAGAAUACGCGUAGUCGAGGAGAGUACCAGCGGCAGGCGGGCAGCGGCCGCCCCUCCCAGCCCACCAGCUGGCCUCUA